GAUGAAGAACGUAGCGAAAUGCGAUAAGUAAUGUGAAUUGCAGAAUUCAGUGAAUCAUCGAAUCUUUGAACGCACCUUGCACCCUUUGGCAUUCCGAAGGGUAUGCUCGUUUGAGUGUCAUUGUACUCUCACACUCUCCGAUCCUAUGGAUUCGGGGAGCGGUGGACUUGGGUGUUGCUGCCUUUCCUUGUGGCUCACCUCAAAUGUGUCAGUGCACCUCUUGGUUGGACAUAGUACGGCGUGAUAAGUCUCUUCGCCGGCACCUCGCAAGAGGGUGGCCGAUCGGGAGCUCUGUGCUUUCAAACCGUCUUCGGACAAUUUCUGACAACUUGACCUCAAAUCGAGUAGGACUACCCGCUGAACUUAAGCAUAUCAAUAAGCGGAGGA
rnacentral:misc_RNA from 1 species